UCACCCAGGAACUUCUCACAAGCUAUGUGUGCCCACAGCAUAUGCUGCAGCACACCAAUAAAAGGAUGCUUGGGAGCCCCCUAUUCAGCCCUGGACCAGGCCUAGGGCCCAGCAGAGCCACUGGCCCAGCCACAGGCAGGAGCAGGAGGGCUCCCUGGAACACCAGCUGGGAAGCAGUGACCAAGUAAACUCCAGAGACCCUUCCGGCUCCCUCACUCU